CUAGCCCCUGGCCAGAACCAAAUCAUUGUCCCAAAAUCAAUCAUUGUCUAACAGCCUAGAACCAAUACAAAAAUAUAUAUAAAUACUCUAAUGAAAUAUAAUACAUUAUCCGGUUACCAGACAUUAACACCACCACCUUUACAAACACAAUAAACAUACAUAUCCUGUUAACUACACAAACACCCCUCUUCCCACACAACAAUGCCCCAUUCACGCCUAUGACGUUCACUCCGCAAAACUAUAAUUGUCUCUUGAGAGCUUCCGUCGGGUCUUCUGAUGAACGCAAACCAGGAAGUAAACAGACCAACGUAAGCGAUGCUGUUGCUUCCGUGACUGCCAGCUGCAUGCUCACGUUCGUGCGGUACAAACAAAAUAAAGGCCUGUGUGA